AGAUGUAACGGGGCUAAACCAUGCACCGAAGCUGCGGCAGCGACACUUAUGUGUUGUUGGGUAGGGGAGCGUUCUGUAAGCCUGUGAAGGUGUGUCGUGAGGCAUGCUGGAGGUAUCAGAAGUGCGAAUGCUGACAUAAGUAACGAUAAAGCGGGUGAAAAGCCCGCUCGCCGGAAGACCAAGGGUUCCUGUCCAACGUUAAUCGGGGCAGGGUGAGUCGACCCCUAAGGCGAGGCCGAAAGGCGUAGUCGAUGGGAAACGGGUUAAUAUUCCCGUACUUGGUGUUACUGCGAAGGGGGGACGGAGAAGGCUAUGUUGGCCGGGCGACGGUUGUCCCGGUUUAAGCGUGUAGGUGUGUGUUCAAGGUAAAUCCGGUUCACUUUAACACUGAGGCGUGACGACGAGGCACUACGGUGCUGAAGCAACAAAUGCCCUGCUUCCAGGAAAAGCCUCUAAGCAUCAGGUAACAUCAAAUCGUACCCCAAACCGACACAGGUGGUCAGGUAGAGAAUACCAAGGCGCUUGAGAGAACUCGGGUGAAGGAACUAGGCAAAAUGGUGCCGUAACUUCGGGAGAAGGCACGCUGACAUGUAGGUGAAGUGAUUUACUCAUGGAGCUGAAGUCAGUCGAAGAUACCAGCUGGCUGCAACUGUUUAUUAAAAACACAGCACUGUGCAAACACGAAAGUGGACGUAUACGGUGUGACGCCUGCCCGGUGCCGGAAGGUUAAUUGAUGGGGUCAGCGCAAGCGAAGCUCCUGAUCGAAGCCCCGGUAAACGGCGGCCGUAACUAUAACGGUCCUAAGGUAGCGAAAUUCCUUGUCGGGUAAGUUCCGACCUGCACGAAUGGCGUAAUGAUGGCCAGGCUGUCUCCACCCGAGACUCAGUGAAAUUGAACUCGCUGUGAAGAUGCAGUGUACCCGCGGCAAGACGGAAAGACCCCGUGAACCUUUACUAUAGCUUGACACUGAACAUUGAGCCUUGAUGUGUAGGAUAGGUGGGAGGCUUUGAAGUGUGGACGCCAGUCUGCAUGGAGCCGACCUUGAAAUACCACCCUUUAAUGUUUGAUGUUCUAACGUGGACCCGUAAUCCGGGUUGCGGACAGUGUCUGGUGGGUAGUUUGACUGGGGCGGUCUCCUCCUAAAGAGUAACGGAGGAGCACGAAGGUUGGCUAAUCCUGGUCGGACAUCAGGAGGUUAGUGCAAUGGCAUAAGCCAGCUUGACUGCGAGCGUGACGGCGCGAGCAGGUGCGAAAGCAGGUCAUAGUGAUCCGGUGGUUCUGAAUGGAAGGGCCAUCGCUCAACGGAUAAAAGGUACUCCGGGGAUAACAGGCUGAUACCGCCCAAGAGUUCAUAUCGACGGCGGUGUUUGGCACCUCGAUGUCGGCUCAUCACAUCCUGGGGCUGAAGUAGGUCCCAAGGGUAUGGCUGUUCGCCAUUUAAAGUGGUACGCGAGCUGGGUUUAGAACGUCGUGAGACAGUUCGGUCCCUAUCUGCCGUGGGCGCUGGAGAACUGAGGGGGGCUGCUCCUAGUACGAGAGGACCGGAGUGGACGCAUCACUGGUGUUCGGGUUGUCAUGCCAAUGGCACUGCCCGGUAGCUAAAUGCGGAAGAGAUAAGUGCUGAAAGCAUCUAAGCACGAAACUUGCCCCGAGAUGAGUUCUCCCUGAGACUUUAGGUCUCCUGAAGGAACGUUGAAGACGACGACGUUGAUAGGCCGGGUGUGUAAGCGCAGCGAUGCGUUGAGCUAACCGGUACUAAUGAACCGUGAGGCUUAACCUU
rnacentral:rRNA from 1 species